rnacentral:rRNA from 1 species
UACAGGGGGUGCAAACGUUGCUCGGAAUCAUUGGGCGUAAAGCGUACGUAGGCGGUUCGUUAUGUCGGAUGUGAAAGCCCUUGGCUUAACCGAGGAAGUGCAUCCGAAACUGGCGAGCUAGAGUACGAAAGAGGAUCGCGGAAUUCCCGGUGUAGAGGUGAAAUUCGUAGAUAUCGGGAGGAACACCGGUGGCGAAGGCGGCGAUCUGGGUCGAUACUGACGCUGAGGUGCGAAAGCGUGGGGAGCAAACAGG